AAGCUUCGAUCCCUAGUCGGCGUAGCUGUCCAAUUUCCCAUGGCCAUGGAGACGACGACCACGAUCCUCCUCGCCGCUACCGAGGUCGAGGAGGAGUUCUUUGAGGUGCCGGGUGCCCGCCACCACCAUGGUCUUUCGACAGAUGUAGUUCCAGGAUCUGCCGGCAUUAUCUUUGACGAGAAGCGGAAAUGAUUGAAAGAGUGAAAGCAAGUCGUAAAUAUCAGAGUCGAGUACUUCUUUCAAAGGAAGGAGCAAGUGUAGACACGGCAGACUUUUACCUCGCGGUGACAUGGUCUUGUUGAUGGUAGGUUUUGACCAUCGGACAUUAUAUAACACAAGAAACACAAGGAAGAUGGAUCGCUGGAACAAAAAGGACUUCUUGAAGGCACAAUUAAUCAUUGUUUUUUUUUUUUUGGAUUAUCAAGGAUGAUGAUUGGAUCAUAUUUGAAUAAAUAGCAAGAACACAUCUUCACUUUGUGUA